UACGUAGGGUGCAAGCGUUAAUCGGAAUUACUGGGCGUAAAGCGUGCGCAGGCGGUUUUUGUAAGUCAGAUGUGAAAUCCCCGGGCUUAACCUGGGAACUGCGUUUGAAACUACAAGGCUAGAGUGUGGCAGAGGGGGGUGGAAUUCCACGGUGUAGCAGUGAAAUGCGUAGAGAUGUGGAGGAACACCGAUGGCGAAGGCAGCCCCCUGGGUUAACACUGACGCUCAGGCACGAAAGCGUGGGGAGCAAACAGG
rnacentral:rRNA from 1 species